rnacentral:rRNA from 1 species
CAAUCUUAACGAUGGAUGUCUUGGUUCCUACAGCGAUGAAGGCCGCAGCAAAACGCGAUAUGCAAUGAAAAUUGCAAUGACUGUGAAUCAUCUGAACGCUGAAUGUAAAUUACUCCAAAAAUACCUUAAUGGUGUUUUUAUGGAACUCCUAUUGGACGCAGAAUCGUAUAUAUAAUA